GUACACGAGCGGCGAACGGGUGAGUAACACGUGAGCAACCUACCCUCAACUUCGGGAUAAGCCUCGGAAACGGGGUCUAAUACCGGAUAUCACCGCAUUCUUCAUGGUUUGUGGUUGAAAGUUCUGGCGGUUGGGGAUGGGCUCGCGGCCUAUCAGCUUGUUGGUGGGGUAAUGGCCUACCAAGGCGUCGACGGGUAGCCGGCCUGAGAGGGCGACCGGCCACACUGGGACUGAGACACGGCCCAGACUCCUACGGGAGGCAGCAGUGGGGAAUAUUGCGCAAUGGACGAAAGUCUGACGCAGCAACGCCGCGUGAGGGAUGACGGCCUUCGGGUUGUAAACCUCUUUCAGCAGGGACGAAGCGAGAGUGACGGUACCUGCAGAAGAAGGACCGGCCAACUACGUGCCAGCAGCCGCGGUAAUACGUAGGGUCCGAGCGUUGUCCGGAAUUAUUGGGCGUAAAGGGCUCGUAGGCGGUUCGUCACGUCGGGAGUGAAAACUCGGAGCUUAACUCCGAGCCUGCUUCCGAUACGGGCAGACUAGAGGUAGGCAGGGGAGAGCGGAACUCCUGGUGUAGCGGUGGAAUGCGCAGAUAUCAGGAAGAACACCGGUGGCGAAGGCGGCUCUCUGGGCCUUACCUGACGCUGAGGAGCGAAAGCGUGGGUAGCGAACAGGAUUAGAUACCCUGGUAGUCCACGCCGUAAACGUUGGGCGCUAGGUGUG
rnacentral:rRNA from 1 species